GUGUAAGUCGUUGUAUUAUACAUUGAAAGAAUGUAGAUGGCAUAAGUCUGCUAAGUUUUGGCGACAAUGAUCAUUGACAAGAAUCGGAGCGCGGCAGCUCUAUGCGUCUUCAAGAGAACAUCUUUCUGUAUUGGCUCAACUGUUGAACCAUGAAAGUUUUACAAACACCAGCAGCAAAGAGUAUCUAUUCAAAACUUCCGGAGAAAGGGAAUACUUAACUAAUUAGACUUAUAUUUUGAUUGAAUAAUCUUUAUAUAUCAAAGUGUUUGCAUAUUUUGCAUGUAUUCAUUUGUAUAUAUUUAUUUAUUGUUUUUUUACUUAUAUAUAUCUGUAUCACCAUUGAAACUCUUCAUUAAAUUUUGUGAAAUGAAAA